GAUGAACGCUGGCGGCGUGCCUAAUACAUGCAAGCCGAGCGAGCGGACGAGAAGCUUGCUUCUCUGAUGUUAGCGGCGGACGGGUGAGUAACACGUGGAUAACCUACCUAUAAGACUGGGAUAACUUCGGGAAACCGGAGCUAAUACCGGAUAAUAUUUUGAACCGCAUGGUUCAAAAGUGAAAGACGGUCUUGCUGUCACUUAUAGAUGGAUCCGCGCUGCAUUAGCUAGUUGGUAAGGUAACGGCUUACCAAGGCAACGAUGCAUAGCCGACCUGAGAGGGUGAUCGGCCACACUGGAACUGAGACACGGUCCAGACUCCUACGGGAGGCAGCAGUAGGGAAUCUUCCGCAAUGGGCGAAAGCCUGACGGAGCAACGCCGCGUGAGUGAUGAAGGUCUUCGGAUCGUAAAACUCUGUUAUUAGGGAAGAACAUAUGUGUAAGUAACUGUGCACAUCUUGACGGUACCUAAUCAGAAAGCCACGGCUAACUACGUG
rnacentral:rRNA from 1 species